CAUAUCAAUAAGCGGAGGAAAAGAAACCAACAGGGAUUGCCUCAGUAACGGCGAGUGAAGCGGCAACAGCUCAAAUUUGAAACCUGCCAACCGGCCGGAUUGUAAUUUGCAGAGGAUGCUUUGGGAAUGGCACUGAUCUAAGUUUCUUGGAACAGAACGUCACAGAGGGUGAGAAUCCCGUCCGUGGUCGGCUGCCUGCCCCGUGUAAAGCUCCUUCAACGAGUCGAGUUGUUUGGGAAUGCAGCUCUAAAUGGGUGGUAAAUUUCAUCUAAAGCUAAAUAUUGGCCAGAGACCGAUAGCGCACAAGUAGAGUGAUCGAAAGAUGAAAAGCACUUUGGAAAGAGAGUUAAACAGCACGUGAAAUUGUUGAAAGGGAAGCGCUUGCAACCAGACUUGGGCGCGGGUACUCAGGAGCGGUUCGCCGCUCUGUAUUUGCCCGCGCGCAGGCCAGCAUCAGUUUUGGGGGUGGGAUAAAGGCCGUUGGAAUGUGGCUCUUCGGAGUGUUAUAGCCUUCGGUGCCAUGCCGCCUCCCGAGACUGAGGACCGCGCUUCGGCUAGGAUGCUGGCGUAAUGGUUGUAAGCGACCCGUCUUGAAACACGGACCAAGGAGUCUAACAUCUAUGCGAGUGUUUGGGUGUCAAACCCACACGCGGAAUGAAAGUGAACGGAGGUGAGAGCCCUUAAGGGUGCAUCAUCGACCGAUCCUGAUGUCUUCGGAUGGAUUUGAGUAUGAGCAUAGCUGUUGGGACCCGAAAGAUGGUGAACUAUGCCUGAAUAGGGUGAAGCCAGAGGAAACUCUGGUGGAGGCUCGCAGCGGUUCUGACGUGCAAAUCGAUCGUCAAAUUUGGGUAUAGGGGCGAAAGACUAAUCGAACCAUCUAGUAGCUG
rnacentral:rRNA from 1 species